UGCAGAGGGCAAUCGGAGGAAGCUGCCCCGGCCUGGGGAGGCCUGCCCAACCCCAAGCUCAAGGGGGACCAACCUCCGGGGCGCCCCCUGGGGCCAGGAAGGAGAAGGUAGAGCAAAAGGACUCUCAAGUCACUGCCAGCUGGGUUCGAAUCCCACCUCGGCCACUACCUGGCUGUGCGAGACUGGCAGAGCGAUGGGAGAAGGAGGCAGUAACCUGGACAAUCUUCACGUGCAGUGCCCUCAGCAGAAGAGAAUGCAUCCCGCGGAAAGGAAGCCGUCUCUGCCCGCCGUGGACAGCUGCCCCCACACGGUGCUCUCAAUUAACCCUAGGACCGGACAGCUGCCGUGGCUUGGAAGUUGCCAUCCCAUCGAAAUCUCAGUGCUUGCCCAGCUUCAGUCGUCGUCUGUCUCCUCGUAAUUCUUCCCAUCCCACACCCACCUGCACUCUUUGUCUUACAGUUCCAUUCGAAUUAAGUUGAUUGAUUUUCCCUACUUAAUUUCAUUGCAGGUAGUAAAUGCUGCACACCAAG